AGGUCAUUCAACAGCAUAUGCACUAAAAUUGAAAUUAUACAGAGUAAAUUAGCAUGGGCUCUGUGAAAAGAUGAUUUGAAACUGGGCGAAGAGGACAUGCAAUUUUUU